UCACGGUCGGCAAAGGCCGCGGCGUGUUUU
rnacentral:sRNA from 1 species